CAACUUUGAAGCCGUCAAACACAAAAUGAAGGUCCCGAGGAUUGCAGCCCUUGGAGGACCCUUCUUUCCCCCGGAUGUUCAACUUCGUUACGAGGCCCCUCCCUCGGUGGACCAUUAACCCGGCACGCGACGACUCGAUUACGGCCAAUUAACGCCGCUCCGUGCACUGAAUGCCGUUGCACGUGCGCAAGCUGCCAUCCUCCUCUGGAAAUUCCUGUGCACGGCCAGAGCCGCACGGGCGGCCGCUGCCCGCUGCCUGUGCAACGUGGGGUUAAUGGGGAUCCCGGCAGCUUCGGUGGGACUUGGGAGGAUACGCAGCGAGAGUCGGGAUCUCUCAAAUACGUCGCCGCGUUAUUGAGCACCGUGUCGUGCAGUAUAAUAACGCGGUCGUUUUGACGCGUUAAAUAAUUAUGCUAUGUUCUUGAAGCCUUGUGGUUUGAGUUCGAUGAUUCCAAGCCAUGGCUGAUAUUGGCGACAAACGAUAUCCGGACCGGUCCUUGGUGAAGUAUGGUCAAACAGCCCUUUUGACUAACACAUGUGGGGAAGGCCUUCAUACAGUAGUGGGUUGCGCAAAGGGUUCUAAAUUAUGUGAUUAAUCAUUCCCAAUCACACAGCUUCAUAAAAUCGCAUGCAACUCGCACCAAUAUCUGCUCAGUGGGAUGUUGCUCCUUCUCCUCUUCUCUCCCCAAUGUCUGGAAUUCCCUCCCUGGGCCCAUCUGCCUGACUGGCCGCUUCUCUCUGUUAAAGUCCAGGGGCCUUCCUCCUCUCCUCUCUCUGUGUGAUCGUUUCCAUCUGUCUUCCCGUCCUCCCGUCUCCUCGCUCACUUAAGAAGCCCUCUCCUCCAGUCCCAUUGCUUCCACAGUUCCCACCCUCACAAAUCCCCCUUCUUCGUCCCCAUGCGCUCACAACACUGGUGUCUUCCCCCGCGCGGCGUCUUGAGACUCGCGCUGCAUUCGCCCGUUGAAUGCAUCCCGGUGUCAAUUUAUUGUCCGCGUUGUUUAAUUAUGCAUUCGUACCAAAACCGCAACGCGAUGCUUCCCUUUGGGACCGGUCAAAUUUAACUCAACAUUCGGGACAAUGGUGGAUCAGGGGACAUUGUGUCACGUGGGGAUAAUUUUGGGGAUCUUGAAAAUGCGAUGCUAGUUACGGGAUAACUUGCACAGCUGGUUCGUUGGGUUGAGGUUUUAAUUGUAAUUGGAACGUUGGAGAAGUGCACAGGUAAAAUAGAAACGCGACGGGAGCAGCGAUGGCACGAAUUGUUUUUAUCGUUUGUCGUGUGAUGCUUGGGAGUGUCGUGCAUGUUUACGCACGCUCGAGUGCUUUGCCUUGUACACGCUAAUUGGUCGCAGCGUUUUAACGGCCAAGAAAAGCAACCGUCGCUUCGUAAUCCCACGAACGUGAAAGUAAAUAAAUAAACCGCAUCCCCGCACCCUUACGCUCACAACGCACUCGGCGUCAACUUAUUAAAUCUCACAGUUCUGCGCGCUUGGCGCAGCGCUCGUAAUGAGACUGUGGAAGUGUGAGAAUCGUGCACGGGUGCGGCGCCGGGCAGCAGCCGCUGCUUUGGUCGCGAUGCGCUCGCGACACGCGCGCCCCCGCGUCUUCGGCGGAACGACGAUCGACAAUUCGUGUCGGUGAAGGCGGUGAAGGCGGUGAAGACGGUGGCGGUGGUGGCGGCUGUGGGUGUCGGGCCGAGCUGAAGAGAAAGGGGGGGGGGGAGUCACGAGACAACGAGAGGGAGGAACCGUCCCCUGAAAGCGCCGACCACUGAAGGGCCCUAGUAGGGGAGCCAAAACAGCCGUGUCAAGGGCCCCGUAGCCUCUAAUGGACACGCAAUUAGCGGCCAAUUUGCACACCUCUCCAGGGGAAGACCUAUUGAGCCAGCAGCCAGCACGGGCCACUCUGGACGUCGCUAAUUAAUUGGGGCGGUCACCCCAGAGUGAGCCUCGUGCGAUGUUUGUCCGUGGCUAUUUAUCAGGGGCGGUGGUGGUGGUGGUGGGGUGGUGUAAAUCCCUGGCUUUGCCGCUACUCUUCCCGCUGACUAUGCGCCCGCACUCGUGUCCUGCUCAAAGGCUUGACCUCUGGUGCCAUCUAAAGAGCUCCUCGCUGUCGAGCGGAGAAAGAGAGAAGCCGCGACAACAGGCGCAACCGAGCGGGCGGAGAGAAAUUUAAUCACGGAGACGAAAUUAGUGCUUAUUUCAACGGUGGAAUCAAACGUGUGUGCUUCAUGUCCACAUGACGGACACUCUUUGCAGGAUGGACCAAAGCGCGGCGAGGCCCGGUCAAACGACGCCCCCCCAACUCCGCACGGCGUGAGGAGGCCCUCAUCCAGCAGCGGACUCGCACAAAAUGGCCCGCUCACGUUCACGGAGCUCUAAAUCUGAAACAUGAACAAGGCACGUGCGGAGCAGCGACGGAGACGCAUGGAAUCGGCACCGCCUUGAGGAGAGCCCUCUCCGCUACAGCGGCGUCGCCGCGGCCCGAGCUGCAAGUCUGGGAUUUCAAAGUCGGGGGGGGGUGGAACCUGGCGGUUCGUGACGCGUGGAACGCGUCUGGGCGCGUUCGGCCUGCGUCCAGGGGGAGAGGAAACCCACCAUCACCACCACCACGGGGCAAUCACCUCGAGUGGUUCUCCUGUGAGUCUCGUCCUGGUCACUAGCGAGCGAGACACGUGACCUCCUUGUCCUGCCCUGACAGCCUCCCGCCGUCGGCUCUCGGGCCUUCCCCUUGGUCGCCGGGGCUCGUGUGAAAUGUACGUAUGUCGAAUUUUUGUUUGUUCGCGCACCGUACGUAGCCGACCGUGCGAAUAGGAGGGCGGCCGCGUUUUCCCGGUCGCAUCUCCAGCACUCGCCUGCCGCGUUUCUCCUCCAGACUUGCGCAUCGCUUCUCCGGUCUGACGACGACAAUCGCGGCACCUGCGCCCGAUGCUGGAGGCUUGUUUUCGAGCCGCGUGGUUAGGGUCCCUCCCUCUGACCCACGUGGGCAUACGGACAGCGCUCCUGCCUCGGUGCACUUGGUUACCGAUGCUCGAACAACGAAGAGAACUCUCGAGGAAUAUGAAUCCACAUGCAGUUUAACCUAAUUUAAUCGAGUAAUUAUGAAGAUGGUGAUGUUUUACUAAGACAUUUGUCAGCUUGGUUCCUUGUAAACAAACUCAGGGUCAGGAUUUGCUUUCAUUUCCCUGGUGAGCGCUGAAACACUCAACACCUCCCAAUGCUCCGCACCUCCUAACACUGCACACCACCUAACGCUCCACACCUCCUAACGCUCCACACCCCCUAACGCUCCGCACCCCCUAACGCACCGCACCCCCUAACACACCGCUCUGAUUGAACUCUCAUAAUGCCGGGCUCGCGAUACGAUUAAUGUCACCGUAUUCACGAUGCGAUGAAUGGUCGCGUCUCCGCUGGCAUCGAUUAUGACGCUCACGAUUCGAUGCCUAAUUGGCGCAUUUGGCAAUCGACCUCCAUGAAUCGGCGCGCCGUUCCGCCUCCGCCAAACCACGAGCAAUGACAACCGCACCCAGCUGGCUUCUACGACCACGGACGCUGCGGCACGUGAGCCGCGUCCGGCAACGCCGGCCCCCUCCAGCGCGCGUCGCCUCCCCGCGCUCGGCACCGAAGCGGCGGGACGAGUCACGUCGACGGCCGCGGCCGGAGGCGACUCUCCGGAGCGAGCGAGGAACGCUCGCUCGGGGGGAGUCCGUCGGACGACACGUUCGCCGCGGCCCUUUGGAAGGUCUCCGGCGCUUCCCGGAUGGGCCGGCCGCGUCCGCGGUGAAGCCGUUCCAAAUUAGCGGCUUCGCCCGUGCAGCCACGGAAAAGGGGGGCCCCGCGCGUUCCCGAGCGGGGACAGCGCCGCGCGAGCGCGCGGGGGGUGAUUCCGCGUGGCGGGCCCCGCGGCGCACCAUUGAUGCGCAUCGUCGCCACACUAUCGGGGCCGCGCUAUCUGACAACCCUCCAAACGUUAUUAGACUGCAGACAAAGCCGAACGCGGUGAUCGCGUCGGAUAGCGGCGAGCGCGGCAGAUGUCCUUGAUAAAAAAAAAAAAAGGGGCCGGUCCCUCGCAGGCGCCACGUCCCCGGGACUCCGUAUCGCGCGCGCUGGGGAUUUGUGUUCGCGUUAUCUUAACAAGAGUUUGCCUCGUCGUCGCAUUUUCGCCAGCCAGCUUACUGUACAAAACCACUUAUUUUCCUCCUCUCCACCUUUUUAUCCCCCCCCCCGCACGGCGUUAUCUUCGUGUAAUCUCAGCAAGGAAAUCAGAGCUUAGGUCUUCAGUCACAUCCACACGCUCGGCCUAAUGCAGGCGUCUCGGCGGCCGCCAAGAAGGUAACCCUCAGCCUGUCGUCGCAUUAUCGCCCCACAUUCACAACCUCGCUCUAAUCUCCAACCUUCACUCGACCGGAAACUUUCGCCACUCGCACGCUUUUUUCGGACUUGCCAGCCAAGUCGCCGCCCGCGUCGGACGGUGGCAACAUUGGGACGGUGAGUGGCGGUGGUGCCCGGUGGCCCGCUGCGGAACAUAUUUGCGUUUUUAAGUGAAGCAAAAGAAGAAAAAAAUAUAUUCUCGGCGUCGACGCGUCUGCUAAUGCGGCCUCGGGCAGGACUUAAACCCGGGGGCUCGGUGAAAGUGGGGUUGUGACACAUGGGGGACAACGUUGUUGUGUUCUGGGAAGGAUCGCGCUCCCUUUUGUGAGGACGCUCUCUGGCGAGGGUAAUCUGCAGACAAAGGCCGCUGAUUAACCUCGUUGGUGGAGGAGGAGGAGGACGUUGGUGGGGAUGAGACAAACGUCUCGCUCCCCACCUCAGGCGCCUGCCCCCCCCCCCCCCCGGGGGGUUCUCUGCGGGCACUUUCUCCGCACCGCGGUGGACUUUGUAAAAGCCGCCCCCUUAAUCUUUUCCCAGAUGACCCCACUCGGGGGGGGGGGGGAGUGGUUGUGUGUGGGGGGGGGGGUAAACACUCGAAAAGUGUGGGGCGGAGAAAGACGAAAAGCAAAGAUUUGUUGAUGUUGCCCUCCCAUCGCCGCCACUACCACCACCACCACCACUGGCAGAUUUUACCUGAAGUGCUCAGUGUGAGCUCUCGCCCACCUUCUGAACUGGUAGCCGGCUCGGGUGUAAACUUCUGCGCUCCUCAUGCAUGCGUCACAAACAUAUCAAAUGCUGGUACAACCCGCUGGCUUUAAAAGCCUCACCUUCACAGGAUCAGACAGGCGUGUCAUUUUCACAGAGCAAACCGUCACAGAUGAAUGUGAUCAGGCGUAACAUUUAUUUUGUGGCCGUUUUUUGAAAGCAGUCUCAUGUUGGGGCAAAGCCAAAAUUAAAAAUGUCCCAUGAAUUUCGUCUCAAAGCGCGUUUUAAAUCCGUUCCAAAUAUAUUUCGCUCGAAUUCACAAUGCCCAACAAUAAUUAAUGGAAACAAAAAAUAACAUAGUCUUAGAAUAUAUGUUUAUCAGUUGAAAUUCAUGAUUUGUACUUAAAAUGAUGCAUACGGCAUUUCUGUGAACAUUCAUUUGACUAUUUUUACUUUAUGUAGAGGUUUGGACCACUUCCUGAUACCUGAGGUGGAGUGGUGGUACAGUGGUUCACGCACAGCACCGUGAUCCCUGUUCCUUGAGUUCGAUUCCCGGCCACGGCAAAAUAUCAGCGGCGAGUGAUAUAUGUACCGGUCCUGGGCCACUCCUUGACCGACUUCCACUGACCAGCGUGGUGAAGUAUGGACAAACAAUCCCUCAUUGCCAAAAGCCGUGGGGAGGCCUUCAUCCAGCAGUGGAGUGACAUGGCCGUGAGCGAUUACCGUUCGUAUCGCUGCGGGAUAGCCGCGCUGGUGAGCAGAGGGCGUUGUUUCCUGACCCUGUCCGGGAUUGGCACGGCGAUGGACAGCCAGAGCCUCGGUGGCAUGGCACGGGGAACUGAUCUCGGUGCGAAUUCCGGCUAUGGGCACGCGGUCCCUGUGAAGGCCGUGCCAGGGCACGCCAGCCACGUUGCGUGCGCCACCCUCCUCCACCUGCCGUCCCGCGUAGCGUUCGCCAUCACGCUGCGUUCCAACUCGUUGUUCGCUGUUCGGCCUCCGUGGUCUACACAGUCCGUGCGGAAGGAGGGCGACCCGAGCAACAAGUUGGGGGGUGAAGUGGCGGGCCCCAGUGGCGGGCGGAUCGAACGCGCGUGUGCGCUGUCUGUGAACAGGUCUGCAACAUUUCAUCUGAAUCCGCGGAAGAUCACUGCAAGAUGGAACCCAACCUGCAUGGGCUUAUCAAACAAAAACAGAACUCUCCGAGAUUCACACUGGCGCUGCCUCACGACAGAAGAAUAUAAAAUAGGCUCUUGUUUAAUGCGAUGCCUCUUCUUCACCGCCCCCUCUCGUUCUUCUCCCCGAAGAAGGGCGAUUGCCAACGCCACCGCCGCAUCCCGUGGCACCCUAACUGCCACGAGCCCCGUCACUCGAUUUGCCGUCCCGGCAGCAGCGCGUUUACAUAUUUUUGGCGAUUUGAGUUGACCGUGACUUCUGGCCGUGGCUGCGAGUGAUUAUUAUCGUCACCGUCGCCGGGCACAUUGUUAGAGAAGGUAAUUGCCCAAAACAGCUCGACACGAAGCAGGGCUCAAAGGACUCACAGCGCUCCUCCUCGGCAGAGCAGCUGUUCAAGCCUUGUGGUCUCCUUGAGACCUACAGACGUAACCGCUUCCUCCAUGCCUGGCACGAGCGCGAUCAUUAUAAUCGCAAAUUAAAUACUUCCGAGGACAAACGGAAAGCCAGGCGAUUGCAUGGCUUCUUCUUGCUCGUGUUAAAUCUGUUACACUUGGUUGGAAAUGGAAGGUUACGACCACAGCACGCCUGCUCAGUAGUAAUCGUAAAAAAAGUUACAUUAACAGUAAAAGUGACUCGCAUGGUGCAUCCCCCUGGGCGCCUUGCACGUUCCUUAUUAUCCUCCUCUUCCUCCCCCCUCCUCCUGCUGCUGCCACAUCAAAUGCGCCGACGCCGCGUCUGCACCACCGACUUGUUGUGACAGAGGCUGCCGGCGCUGCGAAGAUCGACGCGCCUCCGAAGCACGUGCCACCCUUCACUGUGCACCGUGCAUGACGGAGUGGCAGUGAAGAGUGUCUGCAUGUGCCAGCCGCAUAAGGAAUGGAUUUCAUCUCAUCACGUGCAGUGCGUUUAUGACUUGGCACGGUAAUGUGAUUAAUGUUGUGUACAUGUCCACUCACGCCAGUGUUCUCCUUGACAAAACUCAAACGAAUCCUAACGCUCGCGCAUCCAUGCGCCCGCAAAUUAUGCAACAUUCCUGCAGCACCUUGGCCGAAACUUAGCGCUGCCUGGUUGCGUGGUGUUUAUAAAUAGCGCAGAUUAAAGGGAGCUACAGUGCUAAUAUUGGAUUAUCUCUUUGUCAUGAAGACAAGUCGAGUGCAGGCCUCCGGGUUAUUGGGACUGAAAGCUGACAGAAGUGGGAAGGCGAAUGGCAGCCAGGAAAUUUGGCAUCACGGGCACUGCGUUUGAUGUGGCUGCGGAUUUUGUGACCCAAUCCCACACAGACAAACAGCAAAGUGUGCUCACUCAGGCAGCCAGCUAGAGCUGUCGGGGCCCAAAUCCCAGCCCAGGGCAGGCAGGGCCUUGCUUACCCUGUCACGCGGAAAUCUUUGCCCAAGGCGGCAGGCUUUAACCAUCCGUGGGGAGCGCGAUCCCAGUUCUAAAGGGAGCAGCGCCAAGCAGAGGAGAUUAAGGAAGACUUCGGUAAACACUUUUGAAAAUUAAAUGUUGUUGCUUUUGAGAUUUUAAUUUUGCUCUCAUAUUUCAGCGCACCUACUAAAUUAAAGCUGCCCGCAUUAGCGGCAAUUUGUGAUUCGCUCUAUUUAAUCAUGGAAUUAGUUGAAGUGAAGUGCAAUUUAAAUGUUCGCUGUUACAUUGUCUGUGAGGUUUUAUUUUAAUUCAAACAUGCUGUGCACAAGUUAUAAAAAACAAGUAACAUACAGCUGUAAUUGUGUAGCAAAAAAAACAAACAAACAUUUUAUGCUUCUGAUUAGAGGUUUUUAAAGCCUCCAUUUCACAAUGUUUUUUGAGAUUUCUGUUAAAUUUGCAAUGGCUCAAAAAUCCCGCUGAGGGGCUGCGUUGAAGUGUGACAGAUGAGACGCGCUGCGACGGCGUCGCCGAGUCGUUGGUGUUUUGUCAAUCAACAACGAAUAAUUGACAGCUCUUUGUCAAUCUACUGCUGGAUGACGAAGCCUCCUCCGCGCCAAGUCAUUUCGUGGGGUUUUGUGGCCAUACUUUUGGCUGCUGUGGUGCUCUCUCGCACACAAAGCCAAACACUCGGUUACAAAUAAUUUCCCAAAAAUAUCCCUCAGCGGGACCCCCCCUGACAGAGAAUUCAAGCUCAGUGAGGCUUUCCCGGAUAAUAAGUAAAUGACAUGACUAUUAGACGUGAUAAUUGCGUUUAAUGUCAUACUGCCCUCUGCGCGGUCCAAUAACAUAUGUAAUGACUCUAACAACCAAUCAUUAGCAUUAACAUACCGACGGAACGACGCUCCUCGGCGUCGCUUUGAGUAAUUCUAAAACAAUAAUUUUCGCACAGCUGCAACUUACAACAAUAUCUGUUGCGUACAUCUGCACGUCGAUAAUGUGUAUCAACAAAGUGAGCCUUUUCAGCUUACGCCAAAUGGUUUGCUUGUGCGGCCGGGAUUAGUGGCCGGAUGAAUGGCGCAUAAUGCUCUAUUGAUGAGAGCUGCUCGGAGCGGCAGGUGUGAGUGCGUGCGCGCGACGACUCGCUGAAAGGUGUGCCGGAGUCAACGUUAAUCCGCCGCAUAAAUCCGCGCAGGCGAUACGACCAUUAUGCCCUUCUGUCGGAGGCAGUCGGGACGACGAGGUGUCAGCACCUCCUUUAUGCCAUUGUAUCCGACGGCGUAAGCCCGUUUCCAUUUCAGCGACGAAGGGCGAGAUAAUCGCAACGGCGCAAACUCGGCGCGGCCUCGACCACCGACUCCCUCCCCCUCGCUCUGCUCGCUUUGUCGGCUUUUUUUUCUCGGGACAGAAAUGAAAUUUCCCCCGUGCCCCGGUAAUUGACCGUCUCGGGGCCGCCGCGGUCUCUUCUUUCGUGUUCGAAGCCCGCGAGCUUCGAAUCUCGGGAGGUUCUUAGCUCGGGAACUUCUUAGCUCGGGAGCUUCGCAGCCUGGGGGAUUCGAAGCCCACGAGAUUUGAAGCCAGCGAGCUUCGCAGUCCGCGAGCUUCUCGGCUCGGGAGCUUCUCGACUCGGAAGCUUCGCAGUCCGCGAGCUUCUGAGCUCGGGAGCUUCGUAGCCCAUGAGUGCGAGCGGCGGCGGAUGACGCCCCCGACGUGGCCGUUCGUGGCGUCAGACACGGGGUUAAAAUAAAGCCUCCAAGAUAUAAUCCACCAUGAAGGGCCUCGCUUCUAACUCACGCUCUUCAUGGUGCGCUUCAACGGCAGAUGGGGCGGCAAUGUCACUCACUGGCUGCCUAAAUGACAAGUACGUCACACUCCGACGCAGCGGUGUGAAAUUAUAUAUCCCCCUGCGCCAUCAACCCUCAGAUGCAGUGAAAUGUUAUUGCGUAAGAAGAGUGUUAAAUGUUCUCUAUAUCAAGUUACAAUAUUUCUGCUCAAGCUGGUACAGUCAUUGAAUGUUUUUUUCGGCGAGCUUUUAUCUAUUUGAAGGUCAAUUUAACCAUCCAGCCUUUUCCUAUCUCGUGAACAAAUUAAGUAUAAAAUAUCAGUGUACGUAUCCUGCUGAGUUAGAGUUCUCUGGUGUUUCCAUAUUGUAUGUAAAUACAAAAUCCUAGGCACCUUGCGCCAGUUGUUCAUAUACAGGGGUUCCUUCCCAAGGUCAUCUCAAGGCAAACCUAAUUUUCUGAAAUCCCUUUUAACAAGAUCUUGCCACAUGUGCUCUGCUGUGUCCCAAUCUGCUCUGGUUGAGUUCGGCAGUAGCAUGUCCUUGGCAAGCUGCUGCUGUUGCUGUUUGUGUUCGGACACAAUAUGCGACCGGCUCACUCUUUAUCAUUCAGUCUCAAGACUUUUUUUAAGGACGGUCUUGGAAAUAUUUUUUGCAGUCGGGGCCGAUUUUACUGCUGCGUGAAAUCGCAAUUAAGUAAAUUUGCAGGUCAUUUAUUAGCAGUGUGAUGUUUGGCCAACACCAGUUACAUUAUUUUGUGUGUGUGUGUGGUUUUUCAGCUAUGCGAUGAAACCGGAGAACCCGGAAGAAACCUGUGCAGAACAGGGGGAGAAAGUACAAACUCUACACCGACAGGCACCCGAGUUGGGAAUCGAACCCAAGGUGCCUCUUGCUGUGAGGCGCGAUUGUUAUUACCACUUCGUCACCACGCUGGCAUUGUUUCAUCAGAAUCAGAAUAUGUAUAUUGGAGGAAUCCGAUGAGCUAUAAAACUAUUUUCACAGACGUCCACUAGACAUUGUGCCAAGCUCAUCAAUGUGGACGGAAACUGCUUCGAUGACGGCGAGCCUCGCUGUGGUUAUCAUCUCAGUGUGUAUGUAAGCGAGCCUGACGCCUGCUGUAUAUUUGGAGUUUGCAUUCUCUCGCGUGGAUUUUUCUCCGGGUCCUCCGGGUUUUCGCUCCGCAUUGAGAAACACG